UACAGAGACUGCAAGCGUUAUUCGGAUUCACUGGGCGUAAAGGGUGCGUAGGCGGCCAAGUGUGUGAGGCGUGAAAGCCUGGGGCUUAACUCCAGAAUUGCACCUCAAACUACAUGGCUAGAGCAUUGGAGAGGGUAGCAGAAUUCACGGUGUAGCAGUGAAAUGCGUAGAUAUCGUGAGGAAUACCAGAGGCGAAGGCGGCUACCUGGACAAUUGCUGACGCUCAGGCACGAAAGCGUGGGGAGCAAAAGGG
rnacentral:rRNA from 1 species